rnacentral:rRNA from 1 species
UACGUAGGGUGCAAGCGUUUGUCCGGAAUUAUUGGGCGUAAAGAGCUCGUAGGCGGUCUGUCGCGUCUGCUGUGAAACUCAGGGCUUAACCCUGAGCUUGCAGUGGGUACGGGCAGACUAGAGUGCGGUAGGGGAGACUGGAAUUCCUGGUGUAGCGGUGAAAUGCGCAGAUAUCAGGAGGAACACCGGUGGCGAAGGCGGGAUCUCUGGGCCGUAACUGACGCUGGAGGAGCGAAAGCCAUGGGGAGCGAACAGG